UUUGAAUUAUUUUCGUGGUCGAGAGUAUUGUCCGUUGCUACUUUAAAAGAGCGCCAUUUCUCUCAGAGACGAAACGUGGCUUUGUUACUGAUAAAGUAACGGACGUAAAAAGAAGCAGUUCUUGCCGUUAAAUUAGCUUAACAAAGUGAUGUUGCAACUUUAUCGACUGAUACAGAACUAAAAAAAGCUUAAGCAAUGGCGUCGUCGAACAGUGCAUACUCUAAUUGAUUCUUCUAAUUAAGAAAAACAAGAAAUUUUUCAAACAAAAUAGAAUUGGGAAAAAUUUAUGUUACCUUAAUGUUUAUGAAAACUGUCUGUUUUCAAAAAUGGUUUCCUAAAUGUUUUCCUGUGAUUGGAGGUGCCCUGGAUGUAACGGAGCAUGCAUUUUGCAGCUUGCUGGUGUGUAUUUUUAUCAUGUAUUGAAUUGGCUCAAUAUGUUUACUGUGUAGUCAAUAUCAGGUCGAUUCUGAAAAAAAUAAUCCACGAUAUGGACCCGAAAAUGUAUUUUGAAUGCGAAUGUAAAAACUAAGACACGAAAUUUUCGAAAAAUGUAUGUUUUAUUUAAUAAUCUAAAUUGUAAAUAAUAUUUUAAUUUUUGUUUUUAAAA